rnacentral:piRNA from 1 species
UCACCUCAUAAUUCCAUAAUU